ACGGGGGGGGCAAGCGUUGUUCGGAAUUACUGGGCGUAAAGGGCUCGUAGGCGGCCAACUAAGUCAGACGUGAAAUCCCUCAGCUUAACUGGGGAACUGCGUCUGAUACUGGAUGGCUUGGAUCCGGGAGAGGGACGCGGAAUUCCGGGUGUAGUGGUGAAAUGCGUAGAGAUCCGGAGGAACCCCAGAGGCGAAGGCGGCGUCCUGGCUCGCAUCUGACGCUCAGACACGACAGCAUGGGGAGCGAACGGGA
rnacentral:rRNA from 1 species